GUAGGUGAACCUGCGGAAGGAUCAUUACGUAUUUAGGCCGGUCUGACUGGUUCUAUUUAACCCUGUUUUUUUGCGUACCCUUUGUUUCCUCGGCAGGCUUGCUUGCCAGUAGGACAUUUCAAACCCAUAUGUUAAGCAAUCAGUGUCAAAAUAAUACAAUCGUAACAACUUUCAACAACGGAUCUCUUGGUUCUG
rnacentral:misc_RNA from 1 species